CAGAAACCUCCUAUGCUGUGGUCUUUACAUUUAACGUCAUUAACAUCAGUAUGCCAGAGGACCCUAAGUCUAGAGGCAACACCAACCAACAAUUGCAGGAUACCAUCAAUAAUGCGCUGAACACUCUUCUGAACGAACCUGGCAGUCCAAAUUUACAACCCAAGUCAUCAAACUUCAAGAAUACAUUAAAUCAGAUUGAGGGCAGUAUGGCGUACAUCUUCCAAGAUACAGGUGCCAUAAAACCAGUCAGCUUCUUACAGGCACUUAAUUCAUUGACAGUCUUAACGACAGCCAGCACUCUGACAACAAGCGCAACUUCUCCACCAACAUUGUUGGGGAAGGUUUAUAUAAAUAUUCGAUUGGUAUUUAACACAUUGGGCCAAAUACCAAGUGAAACUAUCAUUCUACAGUUGGCCAAAUCUUUGAUUGGCCCACGUUACAGAACUAAAGAUGUCUCAACACCAACCCAAGAUGCGAGCCUUAUGAAUGUCACCUAUACAAGAAUUAAUGAUACCUCCUAUGCGCUCACAUUUGGAUUUGAAAUCAGCAAUAUAUCCAUAGCUGAGAAAAUUGAACUAAGGAAUGAAACUUACACUUCAAUCAAAAGCACUAUAAAUGAAUUGCUUAUCGAAAUCCUAAAGGACCCCUCAGCUUCUCAGUUUGAUCUCCAUCAUGUUGAAUUCAAGGAUAAUAGCACAGUAAUUCUGGCCAGUGUUCAGUAUGUUUUCUCAGAAAGUGACUUGAACACAAACAGCACCUUUGUCCAGAAAAUAUUCAAAGCUAAUGAAGUCUUGACGACAGCCAGCACUCUGACAACAACUUCUCCACCAAACUUGCUUGGGAAAGUGAUCAUAUACAUCAGGCUUGUGUUUAGAACGCGGGGUACUAUACCAAGUCAGAGUAACGUUAUACAUGUAGCUAACACUCUGUUGAAUGGAAUGAAACUGAGAACUAAACGAGCCCUUACAACAAAAGAUCUGACUGAACUUGUGAGCUUUGUGAAUGUCACCUAUACAAAAAUUGAUGAUACCUCCUUCUCUCUUAACUUUGGAUUUGAAAUCAGCAAUGUGUCCAUCUCAGAGAAACUUGAAUUCAGGAAUGAGACCUACAAAGUGAUCCAGAACUAUAUUAAUUCAUUUGUAUCCACAAUACUAAAUAAAACAACAACUACUGACUUUAAUUUCAAUCAAAUCAUUUUCAAGGGUAAUUCCACUGUGAUUGAGGCCAGCGUAGAGUAUGUCUUCACAGACACUGACAUCGGCAGUUUCGGCUUGGUCACAACUUUGCUCGGACUUACUACAACAGCCGCUCCAACCACCUUUUACCCCACAAUUCUGCACACUACAAUCUCAAACAACAGUACUAAUGCAGCAUGGAUUGUGGCUAUCAUUGUCCCCUGUGCUAUUGUCAUCGGGCUCGUACCUUGCUGGAUUCUUCUUUGUUGUUUGCUGUGUGGUUGCUGUGCAGCAAUCAGAAGACGUUGGCACAGAAGACGGUCAUACAAUGUGCAGUACACCACUCGAAACAGUCUCUUCUAGAGAUAUUCAAAAACAAACUUUGACACAUAAAAGUUUAUUAAUUUUCCUGUAUUGCUGGGCAUACCUGACCUCUCCAAAUGUGAUGCAACUUUGAUUAAAAAAAAAGACUAUUUAUGGAAUGAUUUUAUUUAUUUGUAAAUUCUGUUAUGUAAAGUAAUGAUGAUCUUGCUUUCUAAAUGAAAGAUUUAUUUGGUAGUAUGUAUCUAAUGUUAAGGGAAAAAUGUAGAAUGUGUUUAUUCACACUUCAUGUACUUUAUCUUUAUCUAAAAUAAUAUAUUGCACCCUGAUGACAUAUUUAUGUGCCAUUCCACAAUUAAUGUUUUAAGACUGUGUAGUUAAAAACUAAUUUAAUAAAAAACAAUUCAAUAUCAA
ensembl:lncRNA